rnacentral:rRNA from 1 species
UACGUAGGCAGCAAGCGUUGUUCGGAGUUACUGGGCGUAAAGGGUGCGUAGGCGGUCCUAUAAGUAUGGUGUGAAAUCUCCCGGCUUAACUGGGAGGGUGCGCUAUAGACUGUGGGACUAGAGUGUGGGAGAGGAAAGUGGAAUUCCUGGUGUAGCGGUGAAAUGCUUAGAUAUGACACAGAACACCGAUGCGAAGGCAGCUUGCUAAACUAUUAUUGACGCUGAGGCAGCGAAAGCUGGGUAGCGAACAGG